UCGGGAAUAUUGCGCAAUGGAGGAAACUCUGACGCAGUGACGCCGCGUGCAGGAAGAAGGUUUUCGGAUUGUAAACUGCUUUAGACAGGGAAGAACAAAGACAGUACCUGUAGAAUAAGCUCCGGCUAACUACGUGCCAGCAGCCGCGGUAAUACGUAGGGAGCAAGCGUUAUCCGGAUUUAUUGGGUGUAAAGGGUGCGUAGACGGUAAUGCAAGUUAGUUGUGAAAUCCCUCGGCUUAACUGAGGAACUGCAACUAAAACUACAUUUCUUGAGUAUUGGAGGGGAAAGUGGAAUUCCUAGUGUAGCGGUGAAAUGCGUAGAUAUUAGGAGGAACACCGGUGGCGAAGGCGACUUUCUGGACAAUUACUGACGUUGAGGCACGAAAGUGUGGGGAGAAAACA
rnacentral:rRNA from 1 species